UACGUAGGGGGCAAGCGUUGUCCGGAUUUAUUGGGCGUAAAGAGCGUGUAGGCUGUUCGGUAAGUCUGCCGUGAAAACCUGAGGCUCAACCUCGGGCGUGCGGUGGAUACUGCCGGGCUAGAGGACGGUAGAGGCGAGUGGAAUUCCCGGUGUAGCGGUGAAGUGCGCAGAUAUCAGGAGGAACACCGGUGGCGAAGGCGGGUCUCUGGGCCGAUACUGACGCUGAGGAGCGAAGGCGUGGGGGAGCGAACAGG
rnacentral:rRNA from 1 species